rnacentral:rRNA from 1 species
UACGUAGGCAGCAAGCGUUGUUCGGAAUUACUGGGCGUAAAGAGUGUGUAGGCGGUGCUCCAAGUCUGGUGUGAAAUCUCCCGGCUCAACCGUGGAGGGUCAUUGGAAACUGGGGAACUUGAGUGCAGAAGAGGAAAGUGGAAUUCCAAGUGUAGCGGUGAAAUGCGUAGAGAUUUGGAGGAACACCAGUGGCGAAGGCGACUUUCUGGUCUGUAACUGACACUGAGGCGCGAAAGCGUGGGGAGCAAACAGG